AUUGAACGCUGGCGGCAGGCCUAACACAUGCAAGUCGAACGGCAGCACAGAAGAGCUUGCUCUUUGGGUGGCGAGUGGCGGACGGGUGAGUAAUGUCUGGGAAACUGCCCGAUGGAGGGGGAUAACUACUGGAAACGGUAGCUAAUACCGCAUAACGUCGCAAGACCAAAGUGGGGGACCUUCGGGCCUCACACCAUCGGAUGUGCCCAGAUGGGAUUAGCUAGUAGGUGGGGUAAUGGCUCACCUAGGCGACGAUCCCUAGCUGGUCUGAGAGGAUGACCAGCCACACUGGAACUGAGACACGGUCCAGACUCCUACGGGAGGCAGCAGUGGGGAAUAUUGCACAGUGGGCGCAAGCCUGAUGCAGCCAUGCCGCGUGUAUGAAGAAGGCCUUCGGGUUGUAAAGUACUUUCAGCGGGGAGGAAGGCGGUGAGGUUAAUAACCUUGCCGAUUGACGUUACCCGCAGAAGAAGCACCGGCUAACUCCGUGCCAGCCGCCGCCGUAA
rnacentral:rRNA from 1 species